CCUCCUUUAUCUUCCUAUCUUUGUUUUUCUCUCUCUAAAAAUCUAAUUUUCUUUUUUUGGUUAUUUCACCAAUAAUCCCUUUUUAAAAACUAUGGGGCGGAGGUCCUAAAUAAUCUCCAAGAGUUUUCUCGAUGGAGGUUAAACCAUGGUACCAUUUUACUUGGGCAAGCAAUCGCGAACGGGCCAAUACUAAAGUUUAUGAAGAGAGAUUCCUAGUGUAUGGUGAAAAAUCAUCAUGACGCCCACAAAGAGAAAAUGCAACUUGUAGUAAUAUUGUACAUUAAAUUUUUCCUUUACCUUAACCAUUGGAGAUGAUUUAUCUUUAAUUUUUACCUUUUAAAUGUAUUUCGAAUAAUGUUGCUAACAUCAUUCUAAGUUCGAGGGAUCAACUCAUCAUCGACAUGUACAGCUUUUUAAUCAUCGCUCUCUCCCUAAAUCUUACUCUUACAAACAUGAGAAACUGAAAAUCAAGUCCAUCCGGUGCCAAGUACCAAAUGAUUCAGCAUGUUAUAUAAAACAUAAGAGUGCUGGUCAAGGAUAUUGUGAUCAGUUGAUCAUAAAGCCCAGCUCGACACAAAUUACUAAGUCCGAACAUGAUUUAACGAUGUUUUGACAAAGGGUUAUUGAUUAUCAUAUUUGUUGCGCAGAUCGAGCUGCCAAACAUAGAACAACAUUGGCUCUUUCGGUUACGAUUGGUCGUUUGGUUCUAGCCGAUUAAACUUAUA